GAUGAACGCUGGCGGCGUGCCUAAUACAUGCAAGUCGAGCGAACAGACGAGGAGCUUGCUCCUCUGACGUUAGCGGCGGACGGGUGAGUAACACGUGGAUAACCUACCUAUAAGACUGGGAUAACUUCGGGAAACCGGAGCUAAUACCGGAUAAUAUAUUGAACCGCAUGGUUCAAUAGUGAAAGACGGUUUUGCUGUCACUUAUAGAUGGAUCCGCGCCGCAUUAGCUAGUUGGUAAGGUAACGGCUUACCAAGGCAACGAUGCGUAGCCGACCUGAGAGGGUGAUCGGCCACACUGGAACUGAGACACGGUCCAGACUCCUACGGGAGGCAGCAGUAGGGAAUCUUCCGCAAUGGGCUGAAGCCUGACGGAGCAACGCCGCGUGAGUGAUGAAGGUCUUCGGAUCGUAAAACUCUGUUAUUAGGGAAGAACAAAUGUGUAAGUAACUAUGCACGUCUUGACGGUACCUAAUCAGAAAGCCACGGCUAACUACGUG
rnacentral:rRNA from 1 species